rnacentral:rRNA from 1 species
GAUGAACGCUGGCUACAGGCUUAACACAUGCAAGUCGAGGGGAAACGACGGGGAAGCUUGCUUCCCCGGGCGUCGACCGGCGCACGGGUGAGUAACGCGUAUCCAACCUGCCUCUGACUGAGGGAUAACCCGUCGAAAGUCGGCCUAAUACCUCAUGGCAUCGUCUGCGGGCAUCCAACGACGAUUAAAGAUUUCAUCGGUCAGGGAUGGGGAUGCGUCUGAUUAGCUUGUUGGCGGGGUAACGGCCCACCAAGGCUACGAUCAGUAGGGGUUCUGAGAGGAAGGUCCCCCACAUUGGAACUGAGACACGGUCCAAACGACUACGGGAGGCAGCAGUGAGGAAGAUGGGUCAAUGGGCGGGAGCCUGAACCAGCCAAGUAGCGUGCAGGAUGACGGCCCUAUGGGUUGUAAACUGCUUUUAUGCGGGGAUAAAGUGAGGGACGUGUCCUUCAUUGCAGGUACCGCAUGAAUAAGGACCGGCUAAUUCCGUG